rnacentral:lncRNA from 1 species
UUCCUAUUAUAUAUUGAGGAUAAAAGCUAGCAAAUAUAGGCUCACAACUUCAAACUGAUAACGUAACUCAGUUAAUUAAUGAAGAAAAGAAAUUUCGACUUAAGUGUGUACACGAGUGUAUUUUUUCAAUUUUGCCAGUAGCAUUUCCAAAUUAAGAACAUUAAUCCAUCAAUCCAAUAAUAUUACUAACCUUGAGGGCGCUCUGUAACUUCACUAUUGAAGUGGCAUAGCCCUUGGCCAUUGCUUCAUAGAAGUUGAGUCAUGAAAGAUGAGAAAUUAUGCUCAAAAUUAGGUCGCCCAUAGUUACUUUUACAUUUAAAGGUGAACAUUUCCCAUGUUAAUCUCGGGGGCUUAGUUUGCCUUUUCCUAUCAAAAACCUCACUAAAACCUCGGUACAGGGCCAUAAGUAAUCACAUUCUUCGCCGACUGGCCACCAUUCGUGGCCCUUGCCAGCCCCAAGUGCAAUUGUCUGUACACCUAAUUGUCUUCAAAUACUGUUGCUGGUUCAGUCUACCAAGCACCCAAGGCCAAUGUGGCUACAAUGUUCAUUCUCAUAAAAACAAGUAGUUCUUCCAUGAGCUCAGGAUUGUCAAUAAUGAUAAGUCAUGAAGUCAGUAAUGCAGCAGUUUCACAGGGAUUUUUGCAAUACCAUUCCAGUAAGAAAUGUUUCAAUUCAAUGUUUAAACAAGAGCCAAAAAAAAAUUCUUGCUAUGACAUCAAUUGCCUUUCAUAUAUUAGGCUUUCAGCAGCACAAGUCUCAUGCACGGGGGCAUUAUGCUUUGUACUCUCAUUUACACAUUGGACUCUGAAUCUAAGAGGGCCAACGAACUAAUUCUAGAAUGGAAGGUUGUUAGGCUAACAUAAAAGCCCA